UACGUAGGGGGCAAGCGUUGUCCGGAAUCAUUGGGCGUAAAGAGCGUGUAGGCGGCCCGAUAAGUCCGCUGUGAAAGUCCAGGGCUCAACCCUGGAAUGCCGGUGGAUACUGUCGGGCUCGAAUCCGGAAGAGGUGAGUGGAAUUCCUGGUGCAGCGGUGAAAUGCGCAGAUAUCAGGAGGAACACCAAUGGCGAAGGCAGCUCACUGGGACGGUAUUGACGCUGAGACGCGAAAGCGUGGGAGCAAACAGG
rnacentral:rRNA from 1 species